rnacentral:snRNA from 2 species
AUACCUUCUCGGCUUUUUAGCUAAGAUCAAGUGUAGUAUCUGUUCUAAUCAGUGUGAAAACUGGUUUCCGACUUUUGUCGGUCUUUUUCACAUUCAUUUUUGGAUAUCCCGUCUUACUCGCGUGAGACGGGGAGGUCUCCGGGGGACCAUACAGCAUAAGCUGCAAACCAUGGGGGCUUACACCUACCCCUCGCGAGGCCAACGAUAC